GAUGAAGAACGUAGCGAAAUGCGAUAAGUAGUGUGAAUUGCAGAAUUCAGUGAAUCAUCGAAUCUUUGAACGCACAUUGCGCCCCUUGGUAUCCCGAGGGGCAUGCCUGUUCGAGCGUCAUUUCACCACUCAAGCCUGGCUUGGUGUUGGGCGACGUCCUCUUUGGGGACGCGCCUCGAAACGCUCGGCGGCGUGGCACCGGCUUUAAGCGUAGCAGAAUCUUUCGCUUUGGAAGUCGGGGCCCCGUCUGCCGGAAGACCUGCUCGCAAGGUUGACCUCGGAUCAGGCAGGACUACCCGCUGAACUUAAGCAUAUCAAUAAGCGGAGGA
rnacentral:misc_RNA from 1 species